rnacentral:rRNA from 1 species
CGCUGGCGGCGUGCCUAAUACAUGCAAGUCGAGCGGACCGACGGGAGCUUGCUCCCUUAGGUCAUCGGCGGACGGGUGAGUAACACGUGGGUAACCUGCCUGUAAGACUGGGAUAACUCCGGGAAACCGGGGCUAAUACCGGAUGCUUGAUUGAACCGCAUGGUUCAAUCAUAAAAGGUGGCUUUUAGCUACCACUUACAGAUGGACCCGCGGCGCAUUAGCUAGUUGGUGAGGUAACGGCUCACCAAGGCGACGAUGCGUAGCCGACCUGAGAGGGUGAUCGGCCACACUGGGACUGAGACACGGCCCAGACUCCUACGGGAGGCAGCAGUAGGGAAUCUUCCGCAAUGGACGAAAGUCUGACGGAGCAACGCCGCGUGAGUGAUGAAGGUUUUCGGAUCGUAAAACUCUGUUGUUAGGGAAGAACAAGUACCGUUCGAAUAGGGCGGCACCUUGACGGUACCUAACCAGAAAGCCACGGCUAACUACGUGCCAGCAGCCGCGGUAAUACGUAGGUGGCAAGCGUUGUCCGGAAUUAUUGGGCGUAAAGCGCGCGCAUGCGGUUUUCUAAGUCUGAUGUGAAAGCCCCCGGCUCAACCGGGGAGGGUCAUUGGGAAACUGGGGAACUUGAAUGCAAAAGAGGAGAGUGGAAUUUCACGUGUAGCGGUGAAUGCGAAAAGAUUAGGAGGAACCCCCUGGCGAAGCCACUCUCUGUCUGUA